rnacentral:rRNA from 1 species
CCUACGGGGGGCAGCAGUAGGGAAUCUUCCACAAUGGACGAAAGUCUGAUGGAGCAACGCCGCGUGAAGGAAGAAGGCUUUCGGGUUGUAAACUUCUUUUAAGAGGGAAGAGCAGAAGACGGUACCUCUUGAAUAAGCCACGGCUAACUACGUGCCAGCAGCCGCGGUAAUACGUAGGUGGCAAGCGUUGUCCGGAUUUACUGGGUGUAAAGGGCGUGUAGCCGGGCUGACAAGUCAGAUGUGAAAUUCCGGGGCUCAACCCCGGACCUGCAUUUGAAACUGUUGGUCUUGAGUAUCGGAGAGGCAGGCGGAAUUCCUAGUGUAGCGGUGAAAUGCGUAGAUAUUAGGAGGAACACCAGUGGCGAAGGCGGCCUGCUGGACGACAACUGACGGUGAGGCGCGAAAGCGUGGGGAGCAAACAGGAUUAGAUACCCUAGUAGUC